UGCCAGUCAGCUUGGUUCCCUACCUGCUCAAGACCUGACUUCGGAGAGAGUGUGUGCUGUGGUCCUGAAUGAACACGACAGACUUGCUGCACUGGAAGUGAAGGACAGGGGGAGGCAAGAACAGAGUUCAAAUCUUCCCACUGCUGAUGCUACUGGAGAGCGUGCUGUAGCUUUGAGUGCCGUCCGAUGCUACAAUUGUGGACAGACUGGGCAUCUACAGCGGAACUGUAGGAAGCCGCGACAGUCAAAAGGAGCAAAGAGCAGCUCAGCGAAGCCUGAGGCAUCAGGCAAAAGCCGUACCAAGUACCAGGUGAAACCUGCAAAGGCUAUGAUGGCGAAAGGAACCACGCCAGAUGUUGGGAACGCAUUUAUAAUCGACACUGGAUGUACAAAACAUUUAUGCCCACACAGACAACUGUUUUCGACGUUGAAGAAGCAAAGCUUCACUGUGAAACAGGCCAACGGUCAGGAGUUGGAAGCGACCAGAAUUGGGACUGUGUAUCUUGAGAGUCUGAACUUGACUAUAAGCGAUGUUUACCUGGUUCCAGAACUGAGAUUUAAUCUGCUGAGUGUGUCGCAGAUUGCGAAGAAAGGACUAAAACUGUCCUAUGAUGCUAAAAGCUGCAAGAUCUACAAAGAUGGAGAACUGUUUCUUACUGCCAAAGAGAAAGAUGGACUGUAUUUGUUGACUUUUGAUCAAAGUGAUUACAUGAAAUGUAAUACUUCUGAUUCUAACGAAAUUUCUCUUGCAGGUGUGACCAGUGUGAACACCAGGAAGGUGGUCAAGAAGGUCGACAGAGCAUUUCAGCGGGUGUAUGCUGAUGUGAUUGGUCCUCUAGAACCAUCUAGAGGCGGUGCAAAAUAUUACCUUGUGUGUGUUGACUGUUUCACUAAUUAUUCUUGGGUUUAUUUGAUGGAGAAACCGCAAGAAACUUUAGAAAAGUUUCAGGAGUUUUGUGACAAGGUUAAAAAUAUGCAUGAUGCUAACAUUGAUUGUCUCUUCACAGAUGACAAACAAGUUUUUCUGUUACAGAAGUUUCAGAAGUUCCUGGAUGGGAAAGGGAUAGACCACAAAGUUUCUGUUUCGCCAGAAGCGUGGAACAGAGGGGUCUGUGUGAAAGUGAACAAAGAAUUGCAAAAGGGGAUGAAUGCGCAAUUGCUGAGUUCACAUUUGCCACAUGAAUAUUGGGCCGAGUCGCUAGCGUCCUAUCUUCAUGUGUGGUUGAGAAAAGUCUCAACAGAGUUGGGAUGUUCUCCUUUUGAGAAGCUGUUCAAAAGAAAACCUUCUGUUGCCUAUUUUGAGGUUUUCGGGUCUCAUGUGAGAACAGAAGCUCCAGGUGGAGUAAAGAAUGCCAGAGGCAUUUUGGUGGGAUAUGAAAAGGGUUUCUAUAGAGUAAUUUUGUCUGAAUCUGGUCAGGUGAUUCUCACAAAGUUUCUAGAAAGUGCUCCAGAAAAAGAGCGGGUUGUAGUACAAACAUAUCCCACAGAGAGCAAUUCAGAUGAUGAUGAUUUUUCUGAUGUCACAGAUUACAGUGGUACUGAUGAUGACAGUGAUAGCUCAGAGAGUUCAGUUGUAACAGUCAUUGAGAGGAAAUCUCACACAAUGGAUAGACCUUCACAGAUGAAGGAAGAACCACUGUUAGCCAAUGCUACUGGUUCUCAACAGAGUCCAGAGGUUGAACCAGUGAGCACAGAGAAUCAGAACCUCAUACGCAGGUCUGAGAGAGUUACAAAGGGUGUACCACCGAAGAGGUACUCAAAAGAGUUUGCUAACUUAGCUGUUGCAUGUGUUGCUAUUGUUAACAACUCUAAGCAGGUUAAAGCAGUGUCUAAGUCAGAGACAAAGACACAACAGAGAGUAGCAAGCCAAAGUAAUGCAGAAGCACUCAUUCCUUGGAAGCCAGACAACCAGAGAGGUACACUGGUGAAACCAGUGGUGGGGAGUUCCAAGGGUGGAACUGAAGCAACAGGGGACUGUUAUAUGUAUAACAACUGUUUGUUUUCUUCUCUGGAUCAUGUUUUGCCCAUUGAUGCUUUUGGGGGAGGAUGUCAGGAAAAAGCACCAAGGCAAAAGCCAGCUCCAGAUGGCUGGAAUGCAAAACAGGAUGUUGUGUUUUGCAGAUGUACUGUUGGAGAAAAGGUGGAGCCUAUUCUCUGUACUGAGCACCGGAUGUUAGCUCAGAGUGUCAUCUGACCUGUACUGGAAGUACAGGGGCGGAGGGUUGGUGACUCUUCUAAUGGAGUCUGAAGGGUGCAGUUGCAUUUCUAUGUACUGUUGAGUGACAGGAAUAAAACAUGUAAAAAGGACUCCUGUCUGUCUCAUUUCCCCUCCCUGAGGAGAAUGCAGGGAGGAAGAGAGAAGAGAGAAGCAGAGGGUGUGUUCUCCUCAUGUCUAAUGAG
ensembl:lncRNA